rnacentral:rRNA from 1 species
AGCGAACGCUGGCGGCAGGCCUAACACAUGCAAGUCGAACGAACUCUUCGGAGUUAGUGGCGGACGGGUGAGUAACACGUGGGAACGUGCCUUUUGGUUCGGAAUAACUCAGGGAAACUUGUGCCAAUACCGAAUGUGCCCUUCGGGGGAAAGAUUUAUCGCCAUUAGAGCGGCCCGCGUCUGAUUAGCUAGUUGGUGAGGUAACGGCUCACCAAGGCGACGAUCAGUAGCUGGUCUGAGAGGAUGACCAGCCACACUGGGACUGAGACACGGCCCAGACUCCUACGGGAGGCAGCAGUGGGGAAUCUUGCGCAAUGGGCGAAAGCCUGACGCAGCCAUGCCGCGUGAAUGAUGAAGGUCUUAGGAUUGUAAAAUUCUUUCACCGGGGACGAUAAUGACGGUACCCGGAGAAGAAGCCCCGGCUAACUUCGUG